rnacentral:rRNA from 1 species
GUGGGGAAUAUUGGACAAUGGGCGCAAGCCUGAUCCAGCCAUGCCGCGUGAGUGAUGAAGGCCUUAGGGUUGUAAAGCUCUUUCGUCAGGGAAGAUAAUGACGGUACCUGAAGAAGAAGCCCCGGCUAACUUCGUGCCAGCAGCCGCGGUAAUACGAAGGGGGCUAGCGUUGCUCGGAAUCACUGGGCGUAAAGCGCACGUAGGCGGCUUUCUAAGUCAGGGGUGAAAUCCUGGAGCUCAACUCCAGAACUGCCUUUGAUACUGGAGAGCUUGAGUUCGUGAGAGUUGAGUGGAACUGCGAGUGUAGAGGUGAAAUUCGUAGAUAUUCGCAAGAACACCAGUGGCGAAGGCGGCUCACUGGCCCGAUACUGACGCUGAGGCGCGAAAGCCAGGGGAGCGAACGGGAUUAGAAACCCGGGUAGUCC